UCGAUGUUAGAAUGUAAUGAUAUACGAGACUUAUAAAGCUAACUCAACGGUGCAAACAAAAGGUGUUAAAACUAUACGGACAUUACGAAAAAUCUACGUUAGAAUGUAAUAAAAUACGAGACAUACAAAAAUUCAUUGCUGUAAAAAUAGGUGUCAAAUGUAUACAAAAAUUACAGGAAAAUCUACGUUAGAAUGCAAUAGAAUACGAGACAUACAAAGACUCAGUGGUGCAAAAAUACUGAAGUCUGACUCAGCUAUGAAGUUCGUUUGGGGGGAGUGACGCGCGGGUGUAUCCUCGCCACAGCGCUGCCAAACCUACCCUUGAAGGUGGAAACACAGGUCGGUGAUGCCAGACGCUUCCAUCCCUCACAUCAACUAUUUCCAAAUGCAGAAAAGGAGAUCAGUCGGGUUCUCAUUAGUGUUUUUCAGGUUCACGGUACAGAAGAAGGGUCACACUGCCACCAGGGUCAUAAAACUACCCCUGAAUAUGUCCAAAAUUCCUAUGAAAGCCUUGUCAAAUAUGUGUGUUUGGGCGCGGAAAUGUUUAAGAACGUAACCAAUGGUGUUGUUGAUCACUGUUCACUGGCAACAUUGGAAGAGCAACGUUGACAUGUGUUAAGGAAUUUAUUCAGUUCAUUGCUAUUAUCCUGAACCGCAACACAUUCAAAGCACUAUUUAGCCUUAUUUGAUAUAUACAGAAUAUUUAACACACAACUUUUAAUAGUGAAUAUCUGACGUCUGAGUGAGUGACGUAUUGGGGGUUGGUGAUGUGGCAACGCUGGGGGGAGGCGCGGGACCCCACCCAAACGGGCUUCAUAUUUGAGGUCCGUAUUCUCCGACGCUUCAGACUCUCACAUUAACUAUUUUCAAGGGCCAAAAAGGAAAUCAGUCGGGUUCUCAUGAGUGGUGUUUUAGGUUCACGGCACAGAGGAAGAGUCAGACUACCACCAGGGCCAUAAUAACGCUACCCCUUGAAAUGCCCACAACUCCUAUGAAAACCGUGACAAAUAAGUGUGCAUGGGGGCCGAAAUACUUAAGAAUACGGCCUGAGUCAGACUAUACAAGAUCUAUACAUAUGUUUGGCGGCCGACCUGCAGCUGAUGGUCUCCAGGGUCACGGUCAGCGCCUUACCCCCAGCUGAUCUUCCAAGUAGAUGUCGUAUUCCUGCCUGAUCUUCGCGUCCCUUGGCCCCCACUUGUCGGAGGCGGCGAAGGCGUUGGUGAUGGCGUGCAUUAGUUGCCCCGACGUCUUGUACCUACGGACCACCUCCACCAGGAACAGCACGGGCACCAGCAGCACCGGCACCACGGACAUCACCACCCC